UACGUAGGUGACAAGCGUUGUCCGGAUUUACUGGGCGUAAAGAGCGCGCAGGCGGUCGUUCAAGUCGAGUGUGAAAGCCCCCGGCUCAACUGGGGAGGGUCAUUCGAUACUGAUCGACUCGAAGGCAGGAGAGGGUAGUGGAAGUUCCCGGUGAUCGAGUGGUGAAAUGACGUAGAUAGUCGGGAGGAACACCAGUGGCGAAGGCGGCGAUCUGGGAAGAUACUGACGCUGAGGUGCGAAAGCGUGGGGAGCAAACAGG
rnacentral:rRNA from 1 species